AUUGAACGCUGGCGGCAGGCCUAACACAUGCAAGUCGAACGAGUGGCGGACGGGUGAGUAAUGUCUGGGAAACUGCCUGAUGGAGGGGGAUAACUACUGGAAACGGUAGCUAAUACCGCAUACCAUCGGAUGUGCCCAGAUGGGAUUAGCUAGUAGGUGGGGUAACGGCUCACCUAGGCGACGACCCCUAGCUGGUCUGAGAGGCUGACCGGCAACGUGGGAACGGAGACAAGAUACAGAAUCGUCCGGGAGGCAGCAGAGGAGAAUAUUGAACAAUGGGCGCAAGCCAGAUGCAGCCAUGCCGCGUGAAUGAAGAAGGACUUCGGGUUGUAAAGUACUUUCAGCGGGGAGGCGUUACCCGCAGAAGAAGCACCGGCUAACUCCGUGCCAGCAGCCGCGGUAAUUC
rnacentral:rRNA from 1 species